GGGUGAGUAACACGUGGGUAACCUGCCCAUAAGACUGGGAUAACUCCGGGAAACCGGGGCUAAUACCGGAUAACAUUUUGAACCGCAUGGUUCGAAAUUGAAAGGCGGCUUCGGCUGUCACUUAUGGAUGGACCCGCGUCGCAUUAGCUAGUUGGUGAGGUAACGGCUCACCAAGGCAACGAUGCGUAGCCAACCUGAGAGGGUGAUCGGCCACACUGGGACUGAGACACGGCCCACACUCCUACGGGAGGCAGCAGUAGGGAAUCUUCCGCAAUGGACGAAAGUCUGACGGAGCAACGCCGCGUGAGUGAUGAAGGCUUUCGGGUCGUAAAACUCUGUUGUUAGGGAAAAACAAGUGCUAGUUGAAUAAGCUGGCACCUUGACGGUACCUAACCAAAAAGCCACGGCUAACUACGUGCCAGCAGCCGCGGUAAUACGUAGGUGGCAAGCGUUAUCCGGAAUUAUUGGGCGUAAAGCGCGCGCAGGUGGUUUCUUAAGUCUGAUGUGAAAGCCCACGGCUCACCCGUGGAGGGUCAUUGGAAACUGGGAGACUUGAGUGCAGAAGAGGAGAGUGGAAUUCCAUGUGUAGCGGUGAAAUGCGUAGAGAUAUGGAGGAACACCAGUGGCGAAGGCGACUUUCUGGUCUGUAACUGA
rnacentral:rRNA from 1 species